GAUAAGGCAUUGAUGAAGAAGAGUACUGUUUGGCAUCGGUUUUUAGAGAGUUUGUGGCAGGUGGGAACAAACAACCGGCAUUCAGGAAUGGGCUUCUGAGCCCCGGGAAGGAAGUUUAGUAUGUCCCGGCGCAUGCCAGGCGUUAUUCUGGCAGCCCUCAUGCGGGGGAAAGAGGCUUUUUAGCAAUUAGGGUGGCACCGCGGACCAUUCGUCCCUAUA
rnacentral:ncRNA from 2 species